AUACGAAGGGGGCUAGCGUUGUUCGGAAUCACUGGGCGUAAAGCGCGCGUAGGUGGAUCAAUUAGUUGAGGGUGAAAUCCCGGGGCUCAACCUCGGAACUGCCUUCAAUACUGUUGAUCUUGAGACCGAGAGAGGUGAGUGGAAUUCCUAGUGUAGAGGCGAAAUUCGUAGAUAUUAGGAAGAACACCAGUGGCGAAGGCGGCUCACUGGCUCGGUACUGACGCUGAGGUGCGAAAGCGUGGGGAGCAAACAGGAUUAGAAACCCCAGUAGUCC
rnacentral:rRNA from 1 species